GGUCCACUUCCAGAAGGCUCAUCCCCCACCGGAUUACAUCCGAUUCGGAAUCGUGAUCGCGAGCCGCCGCCAUCCGAAGGGACGAUUUCCUAAUGUUAGUUCAGUUUUCCUUCCCCAAAUGGAAAGUAAGAAGAAGAAAACUCACUCCUUGAACGAUUCCAAGAGCUCAAAAAAACUGUAUGCUUCACUGAAAACAAAAACAAUAAUCAAACCGUCCCGAUGAUCAAAGAUGCCACUAACUGAGAAAUAACGAAGAAGGCUGAUCAAAAGUAUGAGAUAGUGAAGAGUUUGAAAAAUGGAAACUGAAACAAUAGGGAGAGAAAAAAGAAAAGGCAGAGAGAGAGAAAGAAAAUGGAGAAUCUUUUCCCGCGGCGCGUUAAAAUAACGAAUCGCAAUUGGGCUAAUUAUGC
rnacentral:lncRNA from 1 species